CCUCUCAAGUUUCUCUCUCUAGUUUUGAUCUAGUAAUGGUCUUCUUUCAAUGUUUUUGUUUAAUCCUAGUGAACAAGGGUCUUGACCCAUGGCAGUUGGACAACAUGCUAGUCCCCACCCUGAUCAGAUCGGGUACUAUUGAAUCUGAUCAUCCAUAAUUAUUUGUUAAACCAUUCAUACCCCAGUUCAAGCAUGAUUAGAUGAUAUCAG
rnacentral:lncRNA from 1 species